UAGGGAAUCUUCCACAAUGGGCGCAAGCCUGAUGGAGCAACACCGCGUGAGUGAAGAAGGGUUUCGGCUCGUAAAGCUCUGUUGUUAAAGAAGAACACGGUAAUGAGGGUAACUGUUCAUACGUUGACGGUAUUUAACCAGAAAGUCACGGCUAACUACGUGCUAG
rnacentral:rRNA from 1 species